UAGCUCAACUAUAGGCUUCGGGGAGUACUGCCAGACUUGGAACCGGGAGAGGUAAGAGGUACGUACAGGGUAGGAGUGAAAUCUUGUAAUCCCUGUGGGACCGACCUGUGGCGAAGGCGUCUUACCAGAACGGGUUCGACGGUGAGGGACGAAAGCUGGGGGCACGAACCGGAUUAGAUACCCGGGUAGUCCCAGCGUAAACGAUGCUCGCUAGGUGUCAGGCAUGGCGCGACCGUGUCUGGUGCCGCAGGGAAGCCGUGAAGCGAGCCACCUGGGAAGUACGGCCGCAAGGCUGAAACUUAAAGGAAUUGGCGGGGGAGCACAACAACGGGUGGAGCCCUGCGGUUUAAUUGGACUCAAACGCCGGACAACUCACCGGGGGCGACAGCAAUAUGUAGGCCAAGCUGAAGACUUUGCCUGAAUCGCUGAGAGGUGGUGCAUGG
rnacentral:rRNA from 1 species